ACAAGCGGUGGAGUAUGUGGUUUAAUUCGAUGCAACGCGAAGAACCUUACCUGGUCUUGACAUCCCGGAGACCCUUAGGAAACUAGGGGGUGCUUCCAUCUGGAAGAAUCUGGAGACAGGUGCUGCAUGGCUGUCGUCAGCUCGUGUCGUGAGAUGUUGGGUUAAGUCCCGCAACGAGCGCAACCCUUGCCUUUAGUUGCCAGCAGUUCGGCUGGGCACUCUAAAGGGACUGCCGGUGUUAAACCGGAGGAAGGUGGGGAUGACGUCAAGUCCUCAUGGCCUUUAUGACCAGGGCUACACACGUACUACAAUGGCCGAUACAAAGGGCAGCGACACUGCGAGGUGAAGCCAAUCCCGUAAAAUCGGUCUCAGUCCGGAUUGGAGUCUGCAACUCGACUCCAUGAAGUUGGAAUCGCUAGUAAUCGUGGAUCAGCAUGCCACGGUGAAUGCGUUCCCGGGUCUU
rnacentral:rRNA from 1 species